CGCGUAGGCGGCCCGCUAAGUCGAACGUGAAAUCCCCGGGCUCAACCCGGGAACUGCGUCCGAUACUGGCAGGCUUGAAUUCGGGAGAGGGAUGCGGAAUUCCAGGUGUAGCGGUGAAAUGCGUAGAUAUCUGGAGGAACACCGGUGGCGAAGGCGGCAUCCUGGACCGAGAUUGACGCUGAGGCGCGAAAGCCAGGGGAGCAAACG
rnacentral:rRNA from 1 species